rnacentral:rRNA from 1 species
CAGCACCUCAAGUGGUCAGGAUGAUUAUUGGGCCUAAAGCAUCCGUAGCCGGCGCUGUAAGUUUUCGGUUAAAUCUGUACGCUCAACGUACAGGCUGCCGGGAAUACUGCAGCGCUAGGGAGUGGGAGAGGUAGACGGUACUCGGUGGGAAGGGGUAAAAUCCUUUGAUCUAUUGAUGACCACCUGUGGCGAAGGCGGUCUACCAGAACACGUCCGACGGUGAGGGAUGAAAGCUGGGGGAGCAAACCGGAUUAGAGACCCGAGUAGUCC